rnacentral:rRNA from 1 species
GGCGAACGGGUUAGUAACACGUGGGUAACAUACCGCCGAGACAGAGACAACCCAGAGAAAUCUGGGCUAAUCCCUGAUAGUCCCUUCACCAAGAUUUGGUAAAGGGUAAAGGAGAAAUCCGCUCGGUGAAUGGCCCGCGGCCUAUCAGCUUGUUGGUAGAGUAAUGGUCUACCAAGGCAAUGACGGGUAGGCGGGGUGAGAGCUUGACCGCCAACAAUGGUACUGAGACACGGACCAUACUCCUACGGGAGGCAGCAGUCGAGAAUAUUGGUCAAUGGGGGAAACCCUGAACCAGCGACGCCGCGUGCAGGAAGAAGGCCCUCGGGUUGUAAACUGCUUUUAUGGGGGAAGAACCAAUGCUUGCAUUGGUGACGGUACUCCACGAAUAAGGGGAUGCAAAUUCUGUGCCAGCAGCCGCGGUAAUACAGAAUCCCCAAGCGUUAUCCGGAUUUAUUGGGCGUAAAGGGUCCGUAGGCGGUUUGAUAAGUCUGGCGCUAAAUACCUUGGGCUUAACCUAAGGGAGGCGCUAGAAACUGUCAAACUAGAGGGCGCUAGAGGUUGAUGGAACGCUCGGUGUAGGGGUGAAAUCCGUUGAUAUCGAGCGGAACACCAAAAGCGAAGGCAUUCAACUGGGGCGACCCUGACGCUGAGGGACGAAAGCGUGGGUAGCAAAAAGGAUUAGAUACCCUUGUAGUCCACGCUGUAAACGAUGGA